AACUUUUCAUUUUUCGAUACAUUUAGGUAACUCAUAUUCAGGAUCUGAUUGAAAUUUUCACUUAUGUAUUGUUGUGUUUCCAUGUCAAUAUUAGUCAUGACUUUUGUAUGUGCAUUAAAUUCAUUUCAGCAUUGCGUUCUUUUGCUUUUUUGUAUUUAUUGUAUAUCUUUCGAGUGCAUUUAUUUGAACGUCAAUCAUAAGGAUGUAGAUCAAGUCUUGCUCGCUGGUCAAAUGUGUUGUAAGUUGUAAUCCGGGUUGAAGUGCUAUUGUUUAACAUUUUCCUACUUCUGCAACUCUGUACCAUCGUCCUUCGAGAUAUUUAUCUCGAGAAAUGAACUAAAAAAGACUUUUACGAAGGAAGAAGAUAUUGUUACUUCUGAUGCUGGACUAAUGACUGAUUUAAAGUAAAUAGAUAGGAUACGACUGUGCAUAUCGUGGAGAGGCGAAGAAUCUUUUCAUCACCACAAGUGCAAUCGAACAUGAAGAACAAUAUUGGCAAGAUAAAUUUUACUGAAAAGCAAAGAAAUCCGUAAAAGAAAACCUUUGGACAUAUAUACGAUAUUGACACGGCUUAUGGUCGAGUGGCGAUUGAUUGAUGUAAAUGGCAAGAAUACGAGUGUGCAUAAUGUGGAGAGGCGGAGAAUCUUCAACAGAACUGGAAUCGAACGUUCAGAACAGAACAAUACAACCAAAACGGCAUACCGCGAAUGAAAAAUGACAUUUUUAAGAAAUAUUGGACGCUGAAGAAUAAUUGCUUGUCCCGGGAUAUAGUUGCAGUCGGACUCAAUGUACGGAGGAGACGACAAAUCUUCAUCACACAGCCAUCCCACAUUUAUCAAAACAAUGUAACUGAAAGUAUACAUCUAUGAAAAAAAACGAAACAUAUCUGAAGAAAACUAAACCGUGGUGACUGAAGAAACUAAUAAUUUUGUGUCAACUAUUUUUGCGCACAUUGUUCAGUUCAUAUAUUGCAACGUAACUUGAUGGAGAAGAGAUCGAAGUUUUACAUAGUCCCCAAGAUCCUCUUUAAAAUCGACUGGCAAUCUAUACGAGAUUUACUUUGGUAUUUUGCCUAACUGUUCUAAUCUUGUGGAAUCCUAAUCUUGUGGAAUCAUGGCACCUAAUAAAACGCCUCUCAAAACUUUUAUGAUAUACUUCUGAGACUUUUUGCUUACGAGUUUGAUCGGCACAAAAUCACAAAAUCACGUUAUCACAACACUGAAUCACAAGGCCAAGGGUUCUCAAAGAUUUCGAUGCCGAAUGACUAUAAAUUUUAAGCGUUCAGACAAUUAAGUCUGCGCAAAAUGAAUACAAUUUACACAACGAAAUAUUUUUUUUCUCGUAAUUUCUGGAAAUAGGCCACCCUAAAUUAUUCGACGCGGCUUAAUCUUGACGACGCCACUCCAGUAUCGUGAUAUGAUAUACUAAAUCGUAAAAUUUUGAUUAGAGGUCAGUGUACCAUGAUUAAUAUGUUGUCAAGAAUUCUAUCAUCAACCCUGAAAAAAAACUACGAUAAUAAUUAUGCAAAGCAAUUCUCGUCAAUUCAAUGGUAAUACAGCCAAAUUUCAUUUCAAACGCAUUUAAUUUCACCGGAGAUUCAUUUUAAAAAAGUUACUCUACCUAAAGACUCUCAUUUUCCAAUAUAUUUUAAUAAUGAAUUUAUAAGUGUGUUCACUGUUUCACUGUUUAUAUCAAAUUUUUGCCAAAAUUCGUUUCGAAAUGU